rnacentral:misc_RNA from 1 species
GAUGAAGAAAGUAGCGAAAUGCGAUAAGUAAUGUGAAUUGCAGAAUUCAGUGAAUCAUCGAAUCUUUGAACGCACAUUGCGCCCCUUGGUAUUCCGAGGGGCAUGCCUGUUCGAGCGUCAUUAUAACCCCUCAAGCUCAGCUUGGUGUUGGGGCCUGCUGCACUGGCAGCCCUUAAAAUCAGUGGCGGCGCCAUCUGGCUCUAAGCGUAGUAAUUCUUCUCGCUAUGGAGUCCUGGUGGAUGCUUGCCAUCAACCCCCAAUUUUUCUAUGGUUGACCUCGGAUCAGGUAGGGAUACCCGCUGAACUUAAGCAUAUCAAUAAGCGGAGGA